ACUCCUACGGGAGGCAGCAGUGGGGGAUAUUGCACAAUGGAGGAAACUCUGAUGCAGCAACGCCGCGUGAGGGAAGAAGGUUUUCGGAUUGUAAACCUCUGUCCUUGGUGAAGAUAAUGACGGUAGCCAAGGAGGAAGCUCCGGCUAACUACGUGCCAGCAGCCGCGGUAAU
rnacentral:rRNA from 1 species